GUUUGACUGGGCUCUGACUCAGUAUGGAUGGACCAUCUCACAGAAAACAACACAAGGCUAAAAUUCACAUAAAUUUAUCACCAGUAUCAGCAAAGUUGUGACAUCACAAUAUACAGAUGUGUGAGCUCUGACACAGGACAAUAGUGUAGAGUUAUAAUGAAUAUGUAAUAAGUUUAACAAACUGUUAUAUUCCUCAUCAUUAA